GACGAACGCUGGCGGCGUGCUUAACACAUGCAAGUCGAACGGAAAGGCCCUUCGGGGUACUCGAGUGGCGAACAGGUGAGUAACACGUGGGUGAUCUGCCCUGCACUUUGGGAUAAGCCUGGGAAACUGGGUCUAAUACCGAAUAUGAUCAUCGGCUUCAUGGUCGGUGGUGGAAAGCUUUUGCGGUGUGGGAUGGGCCCGCGGCCUAUCAGCUUGUUGGUGGGGUAAUGGCCUACCAAGGCGACGACGGGUAGCCGGCCUGAGAGGGUGACCGGCCACACUGGGACUGAGAUACGGCCCAGACUCCUACGGGAGGCAGCAGUGGGGAAUAUUGCACAAUGGGCGCAAGCCUGAUGCAGCGACGCCGCGUGAGGGAUGACGGCCUUCGGGUUGUAAACCUCUUUCAGCACAGACGAAGCGCAAGUGACGGUAUGUGCAGAAGAAGGACCGGCCAACUACGUG
rnacentral:rRNA from 1 species